rnacentral:rRNA from 1 species
CUGCAGUCGAGCGGACCUGAUGGAGUGCUUGCACUCCUGAUGGUUAGCGGCGGACGGGUGAGUAACACGUAGGCAACCUGCCCUCAAAACUGGGAUAACUACCGGAAACGGUACCUAAUACCGGAUAAUUUAUUUUGCACCAUUGUGGAAUAAUGAAAGGCGGACCAAUCUGUCACUUGAGGAUGGGCCUGCGGCGCAUUACCUAGUUGGUGGGGUAACGGCCCACCAAGGCGACAAUGCGUAGCCAACCUGAAAGGGUGAACGGCCACACUGGGACUGAAACACGGCCCAAACUCCUACGGGAGGCAGCAGUAGGGAAUCUUCCGCAAUGGGCGAAAGCCUGACGGAGCAACGCCGCGUGAGUGAUGAAGGUUUUCGGAUCGUAAAGCUCUGUUGCCAAGGAAAAACGUCUUCUAAAGUAACUGCUAGGAAAGUGACGGUACUUGAAAAAAAAGCCCCGGCUAACUACUUGCCACCACCCGCGGUAAUACUUAGGGGGCAAGCGUUGUCCGGAAUUAUUGGGCGUAAAGCGCGCGCAGGCGGUUCUUUAAUUCUGGUGUUUAAACCCGAGGUUCAACUUCGGGUCGCACUGGAAACUGGGGAACUUGAUUGCAAAA